ACUCCUACGGGAGGCAGCAGUGGGGAAUAUUGCACAAUGGGGGCAACCCUGAUCCAGCCAUGCCGCGUGAGCGAUGAAGGCCUUAGGGUUGUAAAAGCUCUUUCACCGGUGAAGAUAAUGACGGUAGCCGGAGAAGAAGCCCCGGCUAACUCCGCUGCCAGCAGCCGCGGUAAUACGGAGGGGCUAGCGUUGUUCGGGAAUUACUGGGCGUAAAGCGCGCGUAGGCGGGCUGUUAAGUCGGGGGUGAAAUCCCGGGGCUCAACCCC
rnacentral:rRNA from 1 species